rnacentral:tRNA from 1 species
CGGGGCAUGGUGUAAUGGUAGCACGAGGCCUUUGGGAGGCUUUAAUCCCAGUUCAAAUCUGGGUGCCCCGA